rnacentral:lncRNA from 1 species
AUGCUUGUUCUAGGAUCUUUGAUAAGAAGCUGGCAAGGCUUUGGAUGGAGUGAGAGUCCUCCUUGCAGUACUCAAUCUGAGGGGCAUGUUCUCAGCUUGUGUUUUGCCCAGUUAUUAAGAAGUCCACAGCAGUGGAGUUCUGACUUUCUCCAGAGAAGACCAGAUCACUACUUGAUAUAUCUUCAUGAUUUGCUAACAUUCUUUAGGCAGCAGGCACUGCAGUCCUGUCCUCCAAGCAAGAUGUUUUCCCUAGGAUGGGAAACUUUAUUUUUACAACUUUCCUAAAUGCACACUGAAACAAUGAGGCCUUCCCUAGAGAGAAUGCUUGACUUUGGUAGUCUACUGCCAUGAAAAAUUUGUCUCAGCUGCUCACAGCCAGGUUGACUUCUGACUCUCCUGAAUGUCAGAAGGAAACACAGUUCAAAACUUUAUUGCUGCUGCUGCUGCCAGAAGACAAUACAGUAUUUUCAAAGAACUCCUGUAACAAAUCCAUAGAGUACUUUGAAUUCGUCUAGUUGGUAAUAUACAGAACCAUAAGGAAAAAACUACCUCCUCAUUCUGUCUCUUCCAAGGAGGACAUUAAAGUGACAGAUUUAAAGGACAUUUACAACUCCAUUGAGCCAGAAGGACUUGAUUGCAUUUUUCCACAUAGGAAGGAGGUGUUGGGUAUGUGUGUGUUCUCAAAUGAUAUGUAGCUGCUGCCUUCCUUUCCAGAUGGCCUGUGAUGUCAUUGCUAAAGAUCUUGAAAUUUGUUUCAUGAGGAAAAUCAUUUCAUGGCCCUCUAACAAGCUUUAAAAUGGUCUUUGCAUAAAUGUAAGACCAAGAAGACAGUAGAGCGAAUGGAAGGUGACAGAAAGGGACAAAGAUGAGGCUAUUCACAUCCCUGAAUCAGUAAGGCAGGGACAAAUGCUUUCUGCAUGGUAAGCACAAUUAGCUUAUCUGUAUCAUGAUUCUUAAAAUUUCUAUCUAGUGGCUGCUUACUAUUGGACCAGUUCCAAAGAAGGAAUCCUCUCUUUUGUUUUUGAGAUUAGUCACAUUUCUUAAUGAACAUGGGACCAGAAACACUGAAGAUGAAAUGUGUCACUUGGGAGAAUGUGGUUUGCACCUGGAGGAUGUCAGAAGUGCACAUAGUCCUGCUGCUCAAGGAGAGAAGAAGGGGCCUUAACAGGUUUGUAGUUCUCUGCUCAUCAUCCCACAGAGAUGAGCUCUAUCUGUAAACAGUAGAUACAGCCAGUGAAAAAUAUGGCAGAUACGGCACCUGUUCCUGGAAACAGGCUGGACAACUCAUCUGGAAGAGUAAAACAGCUAGCAGAGUGCUCCUGUGGUUCUGCAUGAGCUAAAGGAACAGGCUUUCUUUAAGACAGUCUCCUGGAAGAGGGAAAAGUGGGACAUCUAUCAGCUGUUUAUAGAGCAACGGGAGAAACCUUGGCAGUGUCUGAUAUUCCUGUACCAUGGAUGAAGAGAAAACUCCAUCAUGAGGGGCUCUGACUCCAAACCCACCCCAUAGAGCUGAACUUGCUGCUUCUGAAACAAGCAAUGCCCGCAGAAGGUACACCAGGAUGCAGUAAAUACACAUCCUGCCUUGCUUCUCUCCUUGCCCUUCACAUCCACUUGGGCAGUAAGGACUCUGAGGAGAACCUUUGCAGCUUUCUGUCAGCCUGGUGACUGCCAUAUACCCUUCACAGCACAGAAAUGCCAGGGGUGUUGGACAGAGAUCUGGAUUAUACAUUUUAUCAGCAGGGUUUCAUUUUUGUUCCUUAAAGUCAUCUGAAAAAUAAAAUAAUUUAGCAUGCAGAUACA